rnacentral:rRNA from 1 species
GCCCUUCGGGGUGGAUUAGUGGCGAACGGGUGAGUAACACGUGGGCAAUCUGCCCUUCACUCUGGGACAAGCCCUGGAAACGGGGUCUAAUACCGGAUAACACCGGCUUCCGCAUGGGAGCUGGUUGAAAGCUCCGGCGGUGAAGGAUGAGCCCGCGGCCUAUCAGCUUGUUGGUGGGGUAAUGGCCUACCAAGGCGACGACGGGUAGCCGGCCUGAGAGGGCGACCGGCCACACUGGGACUGAGACACGGCCCAGACUCCUACGGGAGGCAGCAGUGGGGAAUAUUGCACAAUGGGCGAAAGCCUGAUGCAGCGACGCCGCGUGAGGGAUGACGGCCUUCGGGUUGUAAACCUCUUUCAGCAGGGAAGAAGCGAAAGUGACGGUACCUGCAGAAGAAGCGCCGGCUAACUACGUGCCAGCAGCCGCGGUAAUACGUAGGGCGCAAGCGUUGUCCGGAAUUAUUGGGCGUAAAGAGCUCGUAGGCGGCUUGUCACGUCGGGUGUGAAAGCCCGGGGCUUAACCCCGGGUCUGCAUCCGAUACGGGCAGGCUAGAGUGUGGUAGGGGAGAUCGGAAUUCCUGGUGUAGCGGUGAAAUGCGCAGAUAUCAGGAGGAACACCGGUGGCGAAGGCGGAUCUCUGGGCCAUUACUGACGCUGAGGAGCGAAAGCGUGGGGAGCGAACAGGAUUAGAUACCCUGGUAGUCCACGCCGUAAACGUUGGGAACUAGGUGUUGG